rnacentral:lncRNA from 1 species
UAGGAACUGAGUUUGACAGCCCUGGUUUAGAAAGCCAGGGAAGAGGAACAAUUUAUAAACUGUUCCCUCUACUUCUUGCAUCUCAUACCCAAAGAAGAGCUUUGAAGACCUGCGUGAAGAGAACCAUUCAGGUCAAGCAGCAUGUUAGAGAAAGAGCUCAGCUGGAACAGAAACCAGAAACCAGAGGAACCAUGAAUGGUUUCCAGCAGCAGCAGACCCCCAGAUCGUUAUGUUAACGCGACACACUGAAGUUGACAGCACCUGGAAAUAAUCCCAGCACUCUUUCCACACAGCCGCUGGGCCAAGACCGAAAUGGCGUGAGGAGCAGACCUGCUUUAAAUGAGAGCCUUCUGCCCGUCUGCUUUCAUUUGCUCGAGCGACAAUGAAGAGAUCCCUCUUCGACGCCGCACCUCCAUGCUGGAGGAGCGAGGGGCCGGAUCCCGAGGCAGAGAGCACCUUCGUGCCAGCCUUGGAAAACGGCGUUGAAGGAAACGUUAAACGGCCGCUUGUCUGGGCAGUUCUCUCUUCUCCCUGUGGUGGUGCACAGGGCCAGAGCUGCAUCAGGGCGCUUCCUGCUCCCUGGCUGGAGGAGGGCGUGGCACAUCUCUCUCUCUCUCACACUCUGACGAGCUUCAGACACACCUCACCUCUUCAAGCCUGUCCCCAGCCCGGAUUCUAGGAGAACCAAACUGGAGGCACCGUGGGAUAACUGAUCGAGUGGCGGAUCCUGGCACCUUGCAGCCAACCAUUCCAUCAUCCGGG